AUGGUGAAACUGCCAAAAUCAAACCCGGACCCUCGGCAGAGGAGGCGCAGGGACCCCCCGGGGGGCUGGAGGUCCCUGCGGCACAAAGGGGAGAUGGGGAUGAGGGGAUGGAUGGGCUGGCUCCGGGCGGCCGUGACCCUGCUGGAGUCCGGGGGGGACCUCCAGCCCCCCGGGGGGUCCCUGCGCCUCCUCUGCCGAGGGGCUGGCUUCGAUUUUGGGAAGUUUGCCAUGUUCUGGAUCCGCCAGAGACCCGGGCAGGCGCUGGAGUGGGUUGCCAGUAUCAGCAGGAGCAGUGGCAGCACCGGCUACGCGGACUCGGUCAAAGGACGUUUCACGAUGGCGAGCGACAACGGGCAGAGCUCGGUGACGCUGACCAUGAACAACCUCCGGGACGAGGAUUCCGGAUCCUAUUUCUGUGCCAAAUCUGCUGGUGCUAAUGCCGCUCUUACUGGUAAUUGUGUGGGCCCCGGCCCCUUUGUCAUGUCCCCACCAGUCCCCAUGUCUCAGACCCUUUCCCCAACCCUUGACCCCAUCCUUGCCCCCAUAUCCCAAAGCUAG